rnacentral:rRNA from 1 species
CCCUUAGAUGUCCUGGGCCGCACGCGCGUUACACUGAUGCAUUCAACGAGCUUAUAGCCUUGGCCGAGAGGCCUGGGCAAUCUUGUUAACGUGCAUCGUGAUAGGGAUAGAUUAUUGAAAUUAUUAAUCUUGAACGAGGAAUUCCCAGUAAACGCAGAUCAUCAAUCUGCAUUGAUUACGUCCCUGCCCUUUGUACACACCGCCCGUCGCACCUACCGAUUGGAUGGUCCGGUGAAGCCUCGGGAUUGUGGUUCUUGCCGCUUUAUUGUGGCGUGACCGCGAGAACUUGUCUAAACCUUAUCAUCUAGAGGAAGGUGAAGUCGUAACA